rfam:Harpegnathos saltator strain R22 G/1 HarSal_1.0_2.contig3738, whole genome shotgun sequence.
CGUCAGAUAGCUCAGUGGUCUAGAGCAGUUGCCUGGCAAGCGAAAGACCGGGUUUCGAUUCCCGGUCUAGCGA